CCUACGGGAGGCAGCAGUGAGGAAUAUUGGGCAAUGGAGGCAACUCUGACCCAGCCAUGCCGCGUGCAGGAAGACGGCCCUCUGGGUUGUAAACUGCUUUUGUUUGGGAAUAAACCCUUCUACGUGUAGGAGGCUGAAGGUACCUUACGAAUAAGCAUCGGCUAACUCCGUGCCAGCAGCCGCGGUAAUACGGAGGAUGCAAGCGCUAUCCGGAUUUAUUGGGUUUAAAGGGUCCGUAGGCGGGUCUUUAAGUCAGUGGUGAAAGCCCACAGCUCAACUGUGGAACUGCCAUUGAUACUGGAGAUCUUGAGUGUAGUAGAAGUAGGCGGAAUAGGGCAUGUAGCGGUGAAAUGCAUAGAUAUGCCCUAGAACACCGAUUGCGAAGGCAGCUUACUAUGUUACAACUGACGCUGAGGGACGAAAGCGUGGGGAGCAAACAGGAUUAGAUACCCUGGUAGUCCACGCUGUAAACGAUGAUUACUCGCUGUUGGCGACAUACAGUCAGCGGCCAAGCGAAAGCAUUAAGUAAUCCACCUGGGGAGUACGCCGGCAACGGUGAAACUCAAAUGAAUUGACGGGG
rnacentral:rRNA from 1 species